rnacentral:lncRNA from 1 species
CUUUAUUUUUGCACAUACAUUUUUACAAAUGCUUUCCAUUUAACAGCCAUUUACAUCAUAACUACCAAAUGGUUAACAGACUUGAAUCAUUUAAUCACAACAUUUAUUUGGCUUCUGAAAUAUGUGCAACCUUAUCAUCUAUGGAGUCACUGUCUGCAGACACUUCUUGGAUGGAAUACUAAGUAAUACCUAAAUAUUAGUCCAGGUCUCUUAUUCAGUUUCCUGUUUAAUGAAUUUCAUGUUUAUCAAUCUAAAUGUUAAGCAACUGGAAAUGGGCAUUCUAUAGGCAGAAAAGUUGGAAACUAUGAUUUCAAGUUCCACAUAUUUCAUAUUGUUGAUUCUGUAUAUAAGGGACAAAGAUUCAAUGAUCUAUAUAGUAUGAAAAAUUGGAAAACUGACUUGCCUUCUCCGAAAUGUUUCAUCAUCUGUAAAAGAGGAUGAAUAUGCAUUAUCUCAUCAUCUCAGUGAGUUCUUUUUUGAGGACCAAAUUCACAAUGGUUAUAAAAAUGUGUCCCAUUAAAAUGGUUUUACUGUUAUUUUAUCAAAGACAGUGAUAAAGUAUAUAUCAAUGUAUUAUCUUAAAUAUCCCAAUACCAGAGGUUUUAUGGAUUUUUG